UUUAACGAAUUGGGCUCAACAAAAAUUUGAGAAAAAUUGAGGCCCAAGACCACAAGGUGGCCGGCCAUGGUCCAAAAAUUACCAAGCCCAUGAGUUAAUUAAUUAGUCAUGUGCAUGGUCAUGUGACAAGUCUAGAUAAGAAGACCAAGUCUUCAUCUUUGUUCAAUUAGAAGCUUCAAGAAAGACAAGAGAAAUUGAGAGCCAAAAAUAAGAGCCUAUUCGGCUUGGCCAUAGAAAUUUCACCCUUGGAAAUCUUGCUCCUAAAAUUUUUCUCUUGGUGGAUUUAUACUAAGUUGAGGUCCCUCUACAACUUGGUGAAAUUGGUUUGGAAGAAAGAGCAUUUAAUUCCUCAAUUUAAACAUAUAUUCAAGUGAAGAAGGUUGGAGGAAAAGAUUUUGGACGAAACGGGACUUAAGUUUUGGGCAAGCGUAAGUCGUAUAAAAGGUACCGAAGCUUACAGUGGUGAUCCGCCAGCCUAGGGUACACA